GAUUUUCUGCACCGAGAACUUUGGAUGACCAUCAAGACAAGCACUCGUUUUGAGUCCUGAGACCCUGGGGUGACCACCGUGAACAAAUACAGACUGCAAAAAGGCAGUCUUGACGGUUCUAGGAUGAAUGCAAAUAAAGACUAACCACCUGACUUCAGCGGUCCAGUCUCUUGUGGGAAGCAGGUGCUUGUUACCCCAAAUACGGAUGAAGAGUGACGAAGAGGAUGAUGACUUUUUUCUCAAACAUCAUCUGAAGAUCUUGACAGGCUGGAGACAAAAUGAACAGACUGAGGGUUUAUACAAAGAAUCUUACUCAGCCAAUAUUAAAGAUAAUAUAUUUUUACAAAAUGUUCUUUUCAUUGUUUAGGAUGAUUUUAUGUAGAAAACAAUACAUCACAAAAAAGACUUUAGCUGGGUUUUCACAGGCAGUGCCUUACACACACACUAACCACAAUUAUAAACGCAACACUAACACAGAUUUAGACAGAUAAUAUUUGAGAGAAAUAGGCCUUUUGGGGACAUAGAAAAUAUUUAAGUUCAGCUCAUGAAAUGAAAAAUGGGGGCAAAAAAUGUUUUAACAAGUGCAAUACAAAUAUCAACCAUAAUACUGAUCGUUUAAAAAAAAGUAAGCCACUAUAUCUUUCUAGAAUCUUACACAAGACUCAGUUACAUAAACGAUCAAAAUAAAUUAACGUCAGACAGGUGGGCGAAAUAUCAAUAUUAAAGCAUGAAUAACUGUUAUCAACCCAAUUUCAAGGUAUUAUUUAAAUGAUCCCACACAAAACAGUUUAUUAUUUAAAUGCAUUAUUACUACAUACCUUAAGCAUGUGUUCCACGCCUUUCUUCUUCUUGGCGUUGCGAGGUCAAGCGGAUGUUGUUAUGUAGAAUCACGACCUUGACGUAAAGACGCACAUCCGUAAUUUAUUUAACAAUGAUAACACUUUCGGGAAAUUUUAUCUUCUAGAUCCUAAUUAAAGCUAUAAAGAAAGAGCACCCUAUCACGAUUAUUUCCUGGUAAGUUUUUGAAAUGUUUUAUUUUAGAAUGGAGAUUAAUAAAGCAGACGAGGAAAGGUUUUGAUUAUUUUAAAUAUGUUUAUAUGUUGUUGUUUUCGCAUACUGUCAUGUAAAAAAUAUAUUUAAAGAUAAAUGAAUGAAAGUUUUCAUUGUUUAAUUUGAAUAAAUGUGUUUUAUAAAAUCAACAACUGCCUGUUUUAAGAUCAAUUGAAAAUGCUGUUUUAAUUACUUAAUAUCGAUGACACAGCUUGCAUGUGUAGAUGUGUGUAGAAAUAAUUUGCUGUAGUUUAGGGCAAUUCAAUUUGUUAAUGAGGGAUCUUGUAAUCUUACAAACAUCUGGGAAAGAGCGGCUUACCGUCUUUCUAAGCUCUUCUAAAGAUCUGGGAAAGAGCGGCUCCGCAUCUUUUAAAGCUCUUCUUAAGAUCUGGGAAAGAGCGGCUCCGCAUCUUAUAAAGCUCUGCUAAAGAUCUGUGAAAGAGCGGCUUGCCGUUCUAACAUCUUGUAAAGAUCUGGGAAACGGCGGCUCGCCAUCGUUCUAAAUAACAUACAUCUUGUAAAGAUCUGCUGGGUGUCUUGCAAACAGCUGGGUCGGACGUCUCGGCGACGCCUUCCAGAUGAGCAAACGCCCUAAAUAAUACGUCUUCCAGACGAAAAACAAGACAUCGCGCAGACAUCUCCGCGACGUACGUGUGCUAUC